rnacentral:rRNA from 1 species
GUAAACGAUGAAUACUAGGUGUGGGAGGACUGACCCCUUCCGUGCCGCAGUUAACACAAUAAGUAUUCCACCUGGGGAGUACGACCGCAAGGUUGAAACUCAAAGGAAUUGACGGGGGCCCGCACAAGCAGUGGAUUAUGUGGUUUAAUUCGACGCAACGCGAAGAACCUUACCAGGAUUUGACAUCCAACUAACGAAGUAGAGAUACAUUAGGUGCCCUUCGGGGAAAGUUGAGACAGGUGGUGCAUGGUUGUCGUCAGCUCGUGUCGUGAGAUGUUGGGUUAAGUCCCGCAACGAGCGCAACCCCUAUUGUUAGUUGCUACGAAAGAGCACUCUAGCGAGACUGCCGUUGACAAAACGGAGGAAGGCGGGGACGACGUCAAAUCAUCAUGCCCCUUAUAUCCUGGGCUACACACGUAAUACAAUGGUCGUCAACAAAGGGAAGCAAUACCGCGAGGUGGAGCAAAUCCCCAAAAACGAUCUCAGUUCGGAUUGCAGGCUGCAACUCGCCUGCAUGAAGCUGGAAUUGCUAGUA